GACGAACGCUGGCGGCGUGCUUAACACAUGCAAGUCGAACGGAAAGGCCCUGCUUUGUGGGGUGCUCGAGUGGCGAACGGGUGAGUAACACGUGAGUAACCUGCCCUUGACUUUGGGAUAACUUCAGGAAACUGGGGCUAAUACCGGAUAGGAGCUCCUGCUGCAUGGUGGGGGUUGGAAAGUUUCGGCGGUUGGGGAUGGACUCGCGGCUUAUCAGCUUGUUGGUGGGGUAGUGGCUUACCAAGGCUUUGACGGGUAGCCGGCCUGAGAGGGUGACCGGCCACAUUGGGACUGAGAUACGGCCCAGGCUCCUACGGGAGGCAGCAGUGGGGAAUAUUGCACAAUGGGCGGAAGCCUGAUGCAGCAACGCCGCGUGCGGGAUGACGGCCUUCGGGUUGUAAACCGCUUUCGCCUGUGACGAAGCGUGAGUGACGGUAAUGGGUAAAGAAGCACCGGCUAACUACGUG
rnacentral:rRNA from 1 species